AGAGUUUGAUCCUGGCUCAGGAUGAACGCUAGCGGCAGGCCUAACACAUGCAAGUCGAGGGAGAAGCCCUUCGGGGCAGAAACCGGCGCACGGGUGCGUAACGCGUAUGCAACCUACCUUUCACAGGGGGAUAGCCCGAAGAAAUUUGGAUUAAUACCCCAUAAUAUUAUUGGAUGGCAUCAUUUGAUAAUUAAAACUGAGGUGGUGAAAGAUGGGCAUGCGUCCUAUUAGCUAGUUGGAGUGGUAACGGCACCCCAAGGCUACGAUAGGUAGGGGUCCUGAGAGGGAGAUCCCCCACACUGGUACUGAGACAGGGACCAGACUCCUACGGGAGGCAGCAGUGAGGAAUAUUGGUCAAUGGUCGGAAGACUGAACCAGCCAUGCCGCGUGCAGGAAGAAUGCCUUAUGGGUUGUAAACUGCUUUUAUAUGGGAAGAAUAAGGCGUACGUGUA
rnacentral:rRNA from 1 species